rnacentral:lncRNA from 1 species
GGAGUUCAGGUUCAGGAGCAAAUCCACUGCUUGGUGGCUUGGUUGUCUGAGAGGCCUAAUGGGUUAAUUUAUCUCAUUGAUAACCCCACUGGGACUGGGUUUGCCGCCGUUGCCUCAGACACUCCAGUCUUCAUGGAUUCUUAGAUGUUAGAAUUGUCCUUCUGCCCUCCAUGUGCUGCAGCUUCAGUUUGCCAUGGCUGAAGCUCGUCUUACCGAGUGCACAAGGGCCUGUGGCCCUCACAGCUCCAGCUGCCCUGGGCCAGACCCACCCCAGGCCUCCUCUCUACAGCCCAUCAUGUUAAUCAUCUCUCUUCCCGUCUUUGCCCGCUCUCUUUGGUUUUUCUUGUCAUUUGGCUCUGCAUCAGUCACUUUAAUGACCCUUUUCCUAAAGAGCCAGAAUGGAUGCUUGAAACCAGGGAUGCGAGGAGGAAGGCUUCCAGGGACCCAAUGCCUCAGGUCUAGACUUGAAGGAAGCUUCCUCUGUGUGGAAACUUCUGAAGUCCUGGACGAAGGGAUGGAGAUGCUAGAUGAUCCACAGGCAUCCUUUCAAUUGCCAGUCUCAAACUCUCUCCCCAUUGAACUGGCAAUCAGAGCUGCUUUUAAACAAACCAAAGGGUGGGCAGAGAAUCAUUCACUGGCCUGGGACAGAUUGAGAGUGAAUGAGCCCUGCACCACCUACGGGUGGAGUUCAGGCUGGCCCUGGGAUGGGUUGAGUUGGGGAGGCUUUCGCUUCACAGACUGGCUCCUUUGCCUUCCCACAUAACAGCUUACAUUUCCCAAACACAGUGAGUUGUGUGGUCCAGGCCACCAAGUGGUGGCUCUAGGCCUCGCCUCACCGUUGGCUAUUUAGCACCUACAGUUACCUUGGGGGGUGGGGCACCAGCUCAGGGUGCUAGGCCCAGGGUGCUCAUUAGUUCCUGGUCACCCACUUCCCCAGGGAUCUGCAGGACACCCCAUGCCCAGUGCGAUGCCCCUGUGCUUCUCUUCCUCUCCUUCAUGGGAGGUGGUGCUGAAUUUCCAAGACGUGGGGUAGGAAGGGCACAGACCUUGGGAAACAGAUGGUAAAACAGCCCAUACCCAAGGCCUUGGUAAGUGGGGAGAUCUAUCCCUGUGUCCUUGACCUGGGGAUUAUAAAAUACCCACAGGUGUAGGCACACAUGUAUGCACACCCACGGCAAAACAGAUAUACUGUUGCCACACACAAAUAUAAAACAUGCUAUGUGAAAUGCACAGAGGCCAGCUAAUGAAAAGGGCAUACACAGAUGACAGAGAACUACACUGGUAUCCUGAAUAUGCACAUUCGGUACAAACCUGGAACAUACUCACCAAUACAGAACAUAACACAGAAGACCUACAUACACCACACACAAAGACACAAUGACAGCUCAGAGGCAAAUGCAUAAAAACCACAUGAACACAAUGGAUAUGAGUACACAGUACACCAAGGAUACUUUAUAUUGUUUCUGCCCAUAAAACACAUACAAACUCAGUUUAUACACCCAAUGCAUUUAUUUACUCAUGUGAGGCACACAAAAUCCAGCACACACACCCAAGCACAUACGCACACAAUUCACAUGGAUUAUGUACAUGUGCACGUGUACUCAGAUCCAUCUCUCUGCCCCCAAAGCUAUAAAUUAGUAGUAGGCACAAACAAAAGAUGAGAUUUCAUCACCUUUCCCAAGCCUGCAGCCACACCCUUCAGUAGCCUUCAAGAAGCCUCUUUCUCUACCCUCUUUCUUUCACCUCCAGAUUUCAGAGAAGUAAACUCUGAGGUUUAUUGUUAGGCAGAUCUCCGAUUAAGACUGGGAAUCUCAUAGGGCUUCUACUUAUUUACCUUCCUCCCACCAGAAAUGUGGGUGUGGGAAGACCUAGGACAACCAGCAGCCUAUUUCACUCCUUGCCAUGCCCUAUCCUUCAGAGCGAGUCCACAUAGACAAUCCUCUGGCCCAGGCUCCCCUGUUCCCAACCCCUGGGAUCUCUAGAUUCAGCUCCAUUCUCUUGAAAGCUAGGAUGGCCCAAGAAAGUGCAGGGUUCUGAGCCCAAAACCAGAGUGAAGAUGCCCCAGCAUCCUGUCAGUCCACAGACCCUAAUGCCCUUCCAUCCUCAAUGACUUUAUCAGGGUGGAUCUGAAAGUCAAGACCACGCAUAGACUUGGCUCUGAAAACGAGCCACCCUUUCCUUGCUUGUGGCAUUUCACUUGCUCUUGGGCCUAAGCCCAGUGGGGUCAACCCUUGAGUCCCCUCUAUGGUUGCUUGAUGCCAGGCAUGCUCCUCUCCUUUGCCAGGCCUCUACCUGGACUCCCUGCCUCCCAUCUAAUUGCUAGGCCUUGUGGAAAUGCACACUAACUCAGCUUACCUAAAACAUGAUUAAGGACACAGACCUCAUGCCACAGGAGCAAGCGAUCAUUUUCCAGACAGCCUGAUUUUUAUCCUAUAUUCUAAGGCCAGAUUUAAAUGCUUUGUAAGGUUCCUCACUGUUUUGGGUGGCGCACAGAGCUGCUUCCUCCCACUGGUAGGACUGGCUGAGAGCUGAGUGCUUUUCUGGCCAAGGCAUCACCGUGGAUGGAAGUUGGGAACUGAAGUCAGGCAUCAGCUCGGGCAUCUUGGUUUCGCUCCUGUGGCCCUCCCAGGCGGGUCCCACGAUGGCCAGAGCACCCCGUCUUCACGGAGGAAUGGGCAGCAGCAGGGAAUGGACGCGUGGGCUCGACUGUGCACGUUCAGUGCAAGAUGCCGGGCCUUCCGUGAGCUUCCAAGUGAAGGUAGCAGUUUCCCCUUCGGCUUCAGCAGGUGUCUCCAUGAGCUCAAACUUUCAAGUAAGUUGGAGUUUUCAGGAGGCUAAAGAGAAAGAAGUCCAGAAAAGGCGGAGAGAUGACCAGGAAGAGAGGGUCCUCUUGCUGUGUAAACUUUGCAAGAGCUGAAACCUAACUGAGGACAUAAUUAGGGCCCUGUGCUUCCUGAAGCUUCUGUGGUGUCUGACACGCUGUCUUCCUUCCUCUCGGCUUCCCUCUGUCCCUGUCAGCUGGGCUUCUGAGGAUGGACUAGUGUGUCCCAGGAGGUUAGCCUCUUGAAAGGAGUGUGCCUCCAGGCCCCAUUGGCUUUGUGUGAGAGUUUUGUGGGCCUGUGUGCUCGUGUGGGGAGGGCUUCAGGACCGGCUUGUCCUAUCUGCUGUCCCUGGAUCUCUCCAUCAUCGCGGUGGACUUGGCCAACUUCCUUCCUCAGAGUCAGCCAUAGAGUAUCAGCACUGAGCCAUGUUGGGGGAGGGCAGCCCCCUGAAGAGUCUCAGGCUGGGGGUUUAGUGCAGCCCGCAGUAAUGGAGGAAAGAUUUGGAGGCUGACUUUCCCCAAAGGAGACCUUAGGACAGUUUGCAAACUGCACGUGAGGGUGGCACCAGAGCCCCCGUGGCAGGCAGGAAGAGCACAGGACUUUGUUUACCCAGGAGUGGGGAUGGUGAGCUCUGCUCUACCUCUGGCUCUCCUGGGGCCCAUUAUUAUAACAGCCUCCAUCUGGGUGAUGGCUGCCUGGUCUGAGAGGCUGGUCCACACGGGCUGUAACACCUGGGGUGCUCCUUGGCACAGUGGAGAUCCCCCACCCUCUGCAAAGUGUCCAUUGCCAGGUUUGAACUCAAGACCUUAACCUCUAACAUUGUUAGCCACCUGAGUCAGCUAGCAGGGUGCUGGAUGCCGGGAGGUAUCCCUGUGGCUCCCGUGACCGUCAUCCUUGUCUUCAGAGUCAGCCCUGAAGUGUUGGUGUGUUUCCCCACCAAAGCAGCAAGCAGGUUUCGGUGGAGGCGGAGCCUCUGCAAGCUGGGCUGGGUCUCUUCCCUAAAAUGAUCUGGUUCCCUUUUCCUUUCUUUCUGCUUCCCUUCCCACCAAAGCUCAGCUCCAUCUCUCAUAGUUUGCGUUUGAACAUUUUUAACAAGGAAAAGUGCAAUACAAUAAAUCGUGACUGUUUUCUUUAGCAAUAGCUAUUUCAAAACCAUGUUCUCAGGACCGAAAAGGGAUAGUACCUGGAUUAUCAGAUAAUACCCUUGGCUUCUGGGCACUAGAUCACUGUCUGUGGUUCCCUCUUCUUCCUGCAAGUCCACGCAAUUCCUGCCCCCGGGGGCUCUGACCCUCCUUUGGAGUGUACACAUAGGCUGAGGUGCAGCGCGGGCGGGCGGCAAGGAAGGGCCGCGAGAAGGCCUUCUUGGUCGCGCUCUUUCCCACAGGCACAUCUCUCUGUCCCUGCGGGCCCCUCGGUCCCCCUGUCCCUCCCAGCCGCCCCUCUCUGCCAGCUCUCACAGGGCAUUCUCACCACCCAUGAGGCGCUGCAGCCUUCAGUGCGGGCGACCUCACGCCAGCCCAUCUGCCUGUCAGUCAGUCUGGCAGGGUAUAAUGGGACCCCGCGGGAAAGCACUUACCAACAGAUAAGAAUAAAGCAUCCUGAGCCAUUACAGAAGAUCAUUUCCAUGCACUAAAAGCCAUUACUUAAUCCAUUUGUCUCCCCUCCCCCCCCCCCGCCCCCCUCCCUGGGGAGACAGAUGUUGGGGGAAUGUGGCCUGGAGCAUCCUACCUGGGAUAGGUAGCCUGGGCACAUCUGGGGAGUUGCCCUCUGGCUGUCCUUCAAAAAUAAGCUGACUCGCUUAACCAGAGGGACUCCUUGAGAGCUGUGGAGGGAAGCAAGUUAUUGAGGGUAGACGUCUACAGGGAUAGAAAGUGGGUGGUUAGGGCAUGACGUUGGGGAAGCAAAGGCCCCACCACCCACUACUGUGCGCAGUUGCACAUGUAUUUGCACACAUAACUGGGAGCUUCAGGAGAAACCCCCUCUCCUGAAGAAAGAAUCUGUGAGGUUAAAUAUUCAGACUGGACAAUCAGGAAGGCUGGCAACCCCAGGGUCCUAUUGCACCCUUCUCAGUCUACCUUGCUCUAUACACGUGUGUACAGCGAAACCUCAGUUAACUGAUGGGAAAAUCCUCAGGGAAGGGAGUGUCCCGACUGCUUUACAACCAUGGUUGUUUGAGUGGGAAUGGGACGCCACGUGUGGGUUCAACCUUUGCUGUUGAGAAAAAACAAAAACAAAAACAAACCCAUUUCCUAAGUAGGUCAGUAUAAACUUUCCUGCCUUAGCAAGUAGAGAGUUUGGAGACGACAGAAGACCUUGCAUUGCUCAGGGUCAACACUGUAAACCUCAGUGCUCAUCGUGCGGAAGUGCAGACGGAAGAGACCAAAGAGACGGGCUGAACGUAUGCUGGCUGCAAGGCAUUCCCAGAAGUUGGCCAUCUGGGUGCGUCCUGGCUCAUCAGAUAAUGCCCUUGCUGUCAUUUGCCUCUUCCUACAGAAAGUAGAGUAAGAGAACGUAAUGCCUGCGGUAACUGAGGUUUUGGUUACUUGGUCCUGAGUUAUCAGAGGUUUUCCAUAUAUACAUAUAUCUGUGUAUAUAUAUGUAUAGUAUAUGUAUAUAUGUAUACCGUUGUUUCAAAAAUUAUACAGUGACUGAUCCCCUUAGCUUCACUGAUGUGGAAUAAAUUUGGCAAUCCGAGGAAUAAACG